rnacentral:rRNA from 1 species
AGAGUUUGAUCAUGGCUCAGAACGAACGCUGGCGGCAGGCUUAACACAUGCAAGUCGAACGUGAAGCAUGCCUUCGGGCAUGUGGAAAGUGGCAGACGGGUGAGUAACACGUGGGAACCUACCCAGUAGUACGGAAUAACUCAGGGAAACUUGGGCUAAUACCGUAUACGCCCUCCGGGGGAAAGAUUUAUCGCUAUUGGAUGGGCCCGCGUUGGAUUAGCUAGUUGGUGAGGUAACGGCUCACCAAGGCGACGAUCCAUAGCUGGUCUGAGAGGAUGAUCAGCCACACUGGGACUGAGACACGGCCCAGACUCCUACGGGAGGCAGCAGUGGGGAAUAUUGGACAAUGGGCGCAAGCCUGAUCCAGCCAUGCCGCGUGAGUGAAGAAGGCCCUAGGGUUGUAAAGCUCUUUCACCGGUGAAGAUAAUGACGGUAACCGGAGAAGAAGCCCCGGCUAACUUCGUGCCAGCAGCCGCGGUAAUACGAAGGGGGCUAGCGUUGUUCGGAAUUACUGGGCGUAAAGCGCGCGUAGGCGGAUACUUAAGUCAGGGGUGAAAUCCCGAGGCUCAACCUCGGAACUGCCUUUGAUACUGGGUGUCUUGAGUUCGAGAGAGGUAAGUGGAAUUCCGAGUGUAGAGGU